rnacentral:misc_RNA from 1 species
GCGGGCCGAUACCUGCGCAGCAUCCAGCCAGACGCCGUUUCAAGAUCACAUCUCGCGAAAAGUAAUGAUUAUUUUCGUUCCGCGGGCGUGUAGUUCCGCAUAUUCCCGCGGCGGCGCUGCGCACGGGUGUCGACACAGCGAUACCUACCUCGUUAUAUUGAAGUUAAAAAUGCAUUACCAGUGCUCCAAAUUUUUAAAUUAGUAUAUUAUAUUUGCGUUAUACAAUAAUUUGAUACGUGUUUUGUGUUUUUGAAUCAAGGAAUGAUCGUUUGAGGCGCGCAGUGUGGUGUGAAUAUAGUGUUAUUCGCGUGCGUAGGUUCGUGCGGUGCGCGAUUUUCCAGGGUUGAGCGGGCGGGUGCCUCGCGGGACGGGCUGUGAGCGUCCAAACGAUGUGCUAGUGUUAAUAUGAACGUCGCAAUAUGCGUGCGGACCUCGAUGGAUUUGCAAAUCUGUUCGCAGUCGAUCGCGUCGUUCGUGCGAACUCACCACGUACUGUAGGGUAGGUUGCCUUCAUACGGACUGUGACGAAUGUUCUUACCGGUGGCGCGGGAUGAAGCGGCACCGUGCCUCGGUCACAUCCAUCUAAAUACAAGCCCGAACUAAUGGCGCUGGCUAAAAUUAUUGUGAUAUGCACGUUGGUCGCCAUCGCGUCCGGCCACAGCUAUGAAGUCAAAGCAGAAGAUAAAGAGAAGAAAGCCAUGGCGGCGGAAAAAGAACAGAACUUGAGAUCAGCCAAUCCCGCGAGGAAUGGGCCAUGGGACCGGCUGUCAGCGUUGAUGAACCGGACUGAGGAAAGAAAGAACCGUCGCCGACCGAAACAGCACGCUGAAGGCAUGCUGAACGACAACGAAGGGAUCCAGAUCAGUCAGAAAAUAACACCCGACAACGACUCGUACACGCUCACGGACAAGAUAAAGAUACUGCGCCCCAACGUGCCCACAUACGAGGCAGUCAGUAAAUACAAUUUCAUAUCGCAGGCUACUGGAGUGUUCUGUAAUUUCGAGAUGGGUAAUGGGUCGCACGUGGACUUGUGCAUGUGGCAGUGGAACACGACGGUGUCCAGCCACGGGCUAGGGUUCAGGGUACUGAGCGCGGCGGACGUGGUGGCGUUGAACUCUACCACCAGGGGACUGAAGUUCUCCGGGCCUGACACUGACGCUGACGGCAACCCUGGAGGUCAUUUCUUGUACUUGCCAGUGGAUCCAACGAUGGAGAACAUGGCGAUAAAGUCUCCGCCUUUUCGAGGCCUCUGGGAGUUCUGUAAGUUCGAGGCUCAGUUACACCAGAGCAAGAUGCAGAACGCCAGCAUCCGGUUAAUAUCCGAGUCAACGCUCUCGGAAGUGCAGUGGAUACUCCAGGAAGUGGCUGGGAAUAAUUUCGAAAUGUGGCACCCAAUGCGUUUCAUGAUCGGCAACAUGCAGCAAGAAGUCCGCAUUAUAAUAGAGAUAACUCGGCCAAAUUACGUGAGCCUCGCGCAGACGCUGCCGCACAUCGCCAUCGACAACAUCCGCAUGCUAGAGUGUGUCCCCGAGCCCCCCGUUUAUAACGGCGAGUGCGUCCCUGGACAAUUGAAGUGCAAGUAUUUGAGUAUUGAUUCGUGCAUCAAGCUGCAUCAGGUGUGUGACCUUGCUAAAGACUGUGACGAUGGAAGCGAUGAGCAACAGAAUUGCGACAAAAUGCCGUACGGAUCGUACUGUAACUUCGAGCAUGACGCUUGCGGCUUCGAGAACGUUCCUCAGCCAAUACUAAAAUGGUCGCGGCACAGCGGGCCGACGCCUACAGACAAGACAGGGCCGAACUACGACCACACGUGCGGGCCCCCGGUCCCCCAUCCCACAGUGAUCAUGCCCCCACUUCUCCCAGCCCACGUGAACUACAGCCUAUCCCAAUGCGUGGGAUACUAUUUCUUCGUAAACAUGAAUGUGACUGGACCUAAUAGGGAAAAAGCGGAUUUUGCCUCAACAGCUAUUAUGAGGACUGUCGUAUUCAAUCCGCCUCCGAAAGUCCACGGGAAUCUUACUUCGAAGUAUUACAAUUGUUGUAUGAUAAGGUUCUAUUACCAACAAAAUGGCCGUAACUACGGCUCCCUGGGGGUGGAUGUGGUAGAACUCACUUCCAGGGGAAACACCACCACCUCCCUCUGGUUCUCCACCAAAGACAAGGGAGCGAAGUGGUACAGAGCGUCUAUAUUCCUACCAAACAUUACUAGGAGAUACUACCUCCAAUUCAAGACUCGUAUGGGAAUGCGAAUUUAUUCAGACUCAGCUAUCGACGACUUUUCAAUGUCUCCAGAAUGUUUUGGGCUAAACAUAGACCCUGAAGAACUAGGGGACUAUAAUUACUACGACCCUGUGUUCGAAGUGAAGACCACGCCGCACACUGCGUUUGCUGAUAAACCUUUCUACCGCUUCACGACCUGCGGGGCUACGGGUCGGUUCGGACCCAACCAGUCAAUGUGCGACGCUGUGUACAACAACACCCCUGUCUCCGUCUCUGUGGUGAACACCCCACCAUACCAGGGUAUACAGGUGUGGGAGGUGCCGGCUGAGGGAUUGUACACGAUAAUAGCAACAGGAGCGAGUGGCGGGAUGGGCUCGGCGUGGGCGGGCGUGUCGCAUGGCGCUACAGCUCGCGCGUUGUUUGAACUGCAUCGAAGUGAACAGAUCUACAUGUUGGUCGGACAGCAAGGCACUAACGCUUGUAAAAAGACGCUAUCAGCGCAGGAGAGCCAGUCCUGCUCCCGGAAGCAGAGCAACGAGACCUCCCACGUGUACACGAGUAAGACGCACGAGGUGCGCAACACGCAGGUCACGGACGGCGGCGGCGGCGGCGGGGGAGCCACUUACGUAUUUUUGCUGGAUAAAGAAGGGGAGGCUUACCCCCUAGUGGCGGCUGGAGGUGGUGGCGGGCUUUCCGUGGGCGCGUUCAGGGACGACGGCUCCCAGCACGGCCGCUUCCACACCAACGCCACGCCAGAGUCCGGGUAUAUGUACGGACAUCCGGGGCGGACGUCAGGUGCCGGUGGAGGCUGGGUGCCUCGCGCUGGUCCCAGUACCCCGGGCUUCGAGCUGGUCCGAGGGGCAGCUGUUAAAGAAGGUGGCGUGGGAGGGCAAGCAUGCGUGGGACAAGCUCAUGGAGGCUUCGGAGGAGGCGGCGGAGGGUGUUUGAGAGGCGGAGGCGGAGGCGGGUGGUUAGGUGGUAAUACGAACGAAGGCGAGCAUGGCGGUGGUGGAUGGUCGUAUAUAGAAGGAACCCGCGCUAUCCGGGACUAUAGUGACGUGAGUGUGGCGCUCAGGACCGGGCCAGGGGAAGUGCUGAUCAUACCGGCGAUACACGACUGUGGGUGCGACUACCGCUGCGUGGCGCUGAACGAGUACCGCAGCGAUGUGAAGUGCUACUGUCCCGCCACCUGGAGCACCGACCUGCACGACGCCACCAAGUGCAUACUGGAGGACUCGUGGCCGCGGGUGUCGUGGGUGGUGAUCAUCGUGCUGUCGGUGGUGGUGUUCGUGUGCGCGCUGGCGGUGCUCUGCGUCUGUCUCUACCUCUACAAUACGUACCAACGCAAGAAAGAAGCGGAGCAGCGUCAGAAGCGAAUCCUAGAACAGGAGGUCCAGCUACAGAGACUGAGGAAUGCUCCCGGAGGAAAUGACAACGCGCUCAACAUGGCCUUCAACCCACACUACGGGAGCGAAGGCUUCCUCCCCCAGGGCAUCGAUGUGAGGGGCCUGCCCCAAGUGUCCAGGGAGAGUUUGAGGCUUGUCAAGGCCCUCGGUCAAGGCGCAUUUGGAGAAGUCUACCAAGGUCUCUACCGCCAUCGGUCAGCGGAUGCAGCGGAAAUGCCGGUAGCCGUGAAGACGUUACCGGAACUCUCCACGGGCCAGGCCGAAGCCGACUUCCUAAUGGAAGCCGCCAUCAUGGCCAAGUUCAACCAUGCUAAUAUCGUGCAUCUGAUUGGAGUGUGCUUUGAUCGACAUCCGAGAUUCAUAGUCCUCGAGCUGCUUGCCGGAGGAGACUUGAAGAACUUCCUCCGCGAGAACCGGCCGAAGCCUGAACGAGCCAGCGUGCUCACUAUGAAGGACCUGUUGCUCUGUUCCCUGGACGUUAGUAAAGGAUGCAGAUACUUGGAGAGCAAGCGGUUCAUACACAGGGACAUAGCAGCUCGCAACUGCCUCCUGACCUCCAGAGGUCCGGGGCGCGUGGUCAAGAUCGCGGACUUCGGCAUGGCCCGGGACAUAUACCGAGCUGAUUACUACAAGAAGGGAGGCAAGGCCAUGCUCCCGAUAAAAUGGAUGCCGCCCGAAGCCUACAUCGAUGGUGUUUUCACUAUCAAAACUGAUGUUUGGUCGUUCGGCGUGUUGCUGUGGGAGGUGUUCUCUCUGGGCGUGAUGCCGUACACCGGCUGCGCCAACAGGGAGGUCAUGGAACUCGUCUCCGGAGGAGGCAGGCUCGAGAAACCAUACGGUUGUCCCCACGAGAUCUAUCGUCUGAUGUGCGAGUGUUGGAACCCGGCUCCCACCGAGAGACCUUCCUUCGCGGCGAUAUUUGACAGACUGCAGAGGUUCAUACAGGACCCUGCAAUAGUGGGAGCAUCUCUGCCGGUGGUGCGGUCGUUGUUACCACCCACCGCCCUGGACGAUUUAGAUGGACCGCAGCUCAACGGGUCUGCUUGUACUUCAUAGCAUAACGCCAACGGUGACACAGGACCCAGAAGAAACGGAGGAUUUACAAUAUCUACCUCUGCUGAGAGCAUCACAAGAAUAUGGCAACAUUCAAAUGCUGAGGAACGGAACGGGCGCAAGGCUCGAGGUGUGCGCUGCUUCCGCCGCCGAGACCG